rnacentral:lncRNA from 1 species
UUUCAAGUUAUUUGUCAUUUUGUGAUAUGUGUGCAUUACAGAGGGGCGUUUAUCGAAAACAAAAAAUCUAUCACGCUAACCAGGAAGACUUCAUGUACUAUUUUUAAAUUUCUAAUGCUUUUCAAAAAUUAUAAUUGCUUAAAGUAUGACACUUCAUACCAUCUUGAACAUUAACACUUCAUAUAAUACUAUACAUGUAUAUUGAAUAUGUUGAAGUAGUUACAAACUAGAAGCGACGAUCAUGCAUCAUCUAGAGCUCAAAUACCGGGUACACAAAAUGUAAUUGACUAAUCGACAAACCCAGCUUUUGUGUGUUAUUAAACUUUUCCAAAUUAUGUUUUAUUGGCGG